rnacentral:rRNA from 1 species
UACGAAGGGGGCUAGCGUUGCUCGGAAUCACUGGGCGUAAAGGGUGCGUAGGCGGGUCUUUAAGUCAGGGGUGAAAUCCUGGAGCUCAACUCCAGAACUGCCUUUGAUACUGAAGAUCUUGAGUUCGGGAGAGGUGAGUGGAACUGCGAGUGUAGAGGUGAAAUUCGUAGAUAUUCGCAAGAACACCCGUGGCGAAGGCGGUUCUCUGGGACGGUACUGACGCUGAGACGCGAAAGCGUGGGGAGCGAACAGG